GAAAAUGCUUCAUUCCUUCGAGUCACAAAAGACACAGCUCUCUCUCGCUAAGCAUCGACGACUAACGAUGAUUCAGAGGUAAACUAGAUGUCUGUCCUCCAAAUUUGCAAUGUAUGUGUUUGACGACGACGAACGAUGAUUUUAUGGAAUUUUCUCUUCAAUUGAGCAAUGGAUCUAAUUCAAUGUAUUCAACGGAGCUUGCCUACAAAUUCACUAUAUAGAGGUGAUGAAAUUGCAAGACAGCUAGAAGAAGUGCAAAUGGACAAUGUGCAAAUUGUCAACGAACAACUUCAAGUUUUGAUUGUGAAGAUUCAAAAAUUGGAAUCUGACACUAUGUUUAUUAAAUAUGGGUUAAUCGUGGCCUUGAUUGUGUUUGGUUCCUUGUUAGUUAUGAAGAUGUAAUAAUGUACGCAAGUUAGUCAUCUACUUUAAGAGCAGUCUCAGCAUUUGAAGCAGAAGGAAGGGCAUGCUUUUUGGCAGUACAGUGGGCAAGGCAGAAUAGUGUGUGUUUUGGAUAUAAGCUCGGACAGAUUUUCAACACAUGUAUUAGCAAAAUCAGGGUUAGUGUGGCAUAGUUUUCUUUUAGGUUUUUGCAUUUGCUUUUGUUUGUGGUUGUAUUACAUGUAGAUUAUAUGAACAUUGGUUUCACAAAUAAUAAACGUGAGACAAGACUUUAGUUAC